UGGGGAAUAUUGGACAAUGGGCGCAAGCCUGAUCCAGCCAUGCCGCGUGAGUGAUGAAGGCCCUAGGGUUGUAAAGCUCUUUCACCGGCGAAGAUAAUGACGGUAACCGGAGAAGAAGCCCCGGCUAACUUCGUGCCAGCAGCCGCGGUAAUACGAAGGGGGCUAGCGUUGUUCGGAUUUACUGGGCGUAAAGCGAACGUAGGCGGACUAUUAAGUCAGGGGUGAAAUCCCGGGGCUCAACCCCGGAACUGCCUUUGAUACUGGUAGUCUUGAGUUCGAGAGAGGUGAGUGGAAUUCCGGGUGUAGAGGUGAAAUUCGUAGAUAUUCGGAGGAACACCAGUGGCGAAGGCGGCUCACUGGCUCGAUACUGACGCUGAGGUGCGAAAGCGUGGGGAGCAAACAGG
rnacentral:rRNA from 1 species